UACGGGGGGAGCAAGCGUUGUUCGGAUUUACUGGGCGUACAGGGCGCGUAGGCGGCCAGCGCAAGUCAGUUGUGAAAUCUCCGGGCUUAACUCGGCAAGGUCAACUGAUACUGCGCGGCUAGAGUGCGGAAGGGGCAACUGGAAUUCUCGGUGUAGGGGUGAAAUGCGGAGAUAGCGAGAGGAACACCUGCGGCGAAGGCGGCUGGCUGGAUCGCAACUGACGCUGAGGAACGAAAGCUAGGGGAGCAAACAGG
rnacentral:rRNA from 1 species